GACGAACGCUGGCUGCGUGCUUAACACAUGCAAGUCGAACGCUGAAACCCUGGUGCUUGCACCGGGGUGGAUGAGUGGCGAACGGGUGAGUAACACGUGAGUAACCUGCCCCCGGCUUCGGGAUAAGCCCGGGAAACAGGGUCUAAUACCGGAUAUGAGCGCCCCUCGCAUGAGGGAUGCUGGAAAGUCUUUUCGGUUGGGGAUGGGCUCGCGGCCUAUCAGUUUGUUGGUGAGGUAAUGGCUCACCAAGACGACGACGGGUAGCCGGCCUGAGAGGGCGACCGGCCACACUGGGACUGAGACACGGCCCAGACUCCUACGGGAGGCAGCAGUGGGGAAUAUUGCACAAUGGGGGAAACCCUGAUGCAGCGACGCAGCGUGCGGGAUGACGGCCUUCGGGUUGUAAACCGCUUUCAGCAGGGAAGAAGCCCCUUGGGGUGACGGUACCUGCAGAAGAAGUACCGGCUAACUACGUGCCAGCCGCCGCAGUAA
rnacentral:rRNA from 1 species